AGACCUUGGAGAGGGGAGUGGGAAAGGAUGGGACAAGAGGCAUGAGAAAUGGAGACAAGAAAUAUUCUGAGCAAGUCUCAUGUAAUCAAGCAAAAACCACUUGUUUAUAGGCAGAAAAAAAUCACACAACAGAAACUGGUAGUCAGGGUAACGAUAAACAAACGUCACAUCAGAAACCAACGGCAUAAGUUUUGAUUUCCCAGAAACUUCUUACAAUAAAUUUCAAUAUCCUGAAAUCUCUGACUAAUAAUAGAGUGAAACUUACUCUUGUGUAGAAGGAAGCUAGCAGAAGUCUCCAGUAUUCUUGGCCGGUGGUAACCCCCAUGUAUGCUACUUGGAAACCAGGGCCCAUGAAGUAGAAAACACCUAGCUCAGGCAAAGAAAGGCAUAAGCAGGCCGGGUGGCCCCAGACAAGGUGGCAGAGCCAAGGCUGAGUCCAUCAAAGAUAAAAACUGACUGAGCACAUCGGGGCACAGCCCUGUUCACACUCAGCUCCCACCACCUCAUCCUGUCCCACCAGAUACACACAGCUUAGUGACACAGAUUCUGGAAGCUUCUCCAUCUGCCAUUUAUUUUUUU
rnacentral:sRNA from 1 species